AGUGAACGCUGGCGGUAGGCCUAACACAUGCCAGUCGAACGGCAGCACAGUAAGAGCUUGCUCUUACGGGUGGCGAGUGGCGGACGGGUGAGGAAUACAUCGGAAUCUACUUUUUCGUGGGGGAUAACGUAGGGAAACUUACGCUAAUACCGCAUACGACCUACGGGUGAAAGCAGGGGAUCUUCGGACCUUGCGCGAUUGAAUUAGCCGAUGUCGGAUUAGCUAGUUGGCGGGGUAAAGGCCCACCAAGGCGACGAUCCGUAGCUGGUCUGAGAGGAUGAUCAGCCACACUGGAACUGAGACACGGUCCAGACUCCUACGGGAGGCAGCAGUAGGGAAUAUUGGACAAUGGGCGCAAGCCUGAUCCAGCCAUACCGCGUGGGUGAAGAAGGCCUUCGGGUUGUAAAGCCCUUUUGUUGGGAAAGAAAAGCAGCAGGUUAAUACCCCGCUGUUCUGACGGUACCCAAAGAAUAAGCACCGGCUAACUUCGUG
rnacentral:rRNA from 1 species